rnacentral:rRNA from 1 species
UACGAAGGGGGCUAGCGUUGCUCGGAAUCACUGGGCGUAAAGGGUGCGUAGGCGGGUCUUUAAGUCAGGGGUGAAAUCCUGGAGCUCAACUCCAGAACUGCCUUUGAUACUGAGGAUCUUGAGUUCGGGAGAGGUGAGUGGAACUGCGAGUGUAGAGGUGAAAUUCGUAGAUAUUCGCAAGAACACCAGUGGCGAAGGCGGCUCACUGGCCCGAUACUGACGCUGAGGCACGAAAGCGUGGGGAGCAAC